AAAAUCAGUGGUUACAAAGAUAGUAACACAAAAGGGGAAUCAAGCACAUUUAUUUUGGAGUGGCCACUAAUAUUUGCAAACAUUUUCAAUUUCACUACAGCUACUGAGGCCAAAAUCCUACAGCUGCUGGAAACACUUUUGCUACAAGUGGACAGAAACUUAAAGAUGCUUGCCAUGCUUGUUUCCAACAAGCAAGCUACUAAAGAAAAGGGAGAAUUUCCAGAGCACAUUGACUUACCCCUCCCCAACUACGAUGCUGCAAAGCACUUGAAUCAACAGCUUGCCGAUAAUGUGAAUCUCAGGAAGUCAUUGGUACGUGUAUUGGUUGAUGUUGCAAAAAUUUAACCUUAUUACAUGUUCCAUGGGAAAUAAAACCUUUCAUGUCAGACAAGUCAUGAAAUUGAUGCAAGUGUUAUUUGUCAGUGAUGGAACACAGAAACCAACUGUCACGACCAUGUAAAGCUAAUUUCAGUUUGAGUUUAUUUUGUGUUAUAUUCAGAUCCUUACAAUGGACUGACAAAUUUUGCUUGUGGUAAAUCUCUAUAUAUGCAGAUGUUGCAGGCAAAGAUUUCCCCCACUUAGUUUAUGCAUUAGCCUUAGCUAUAAGUAGUGUUCCCUGAUAUAAACAUUGCCCAGGUACCUAUGAGUUGGCAGCUGAGCCCCAGGGCAUUGCAGAGCCACCGGUUGAAACAAAGAGGGUCUUAUUAGUUUUCCCACAGCCUUUGUGAGAAAUUCCUCAUUCAGCAGACGGGCAUGGAUCGGUGCAGACUGCACUGACUUUCUCUCUCCACACUUAUGUACUAGCCCAGAAAGUUUGUCUGCCCUGCUAUAUUGAUUCACCGCCUAUCACUCAUCGGUGGAGCGAGCCUUGGAAAGGUGGUUCGAGGUAUAAUGAUUGACUUAAUCUCCACCUCCUUGGCCAAGAGUUGCAACUGGUUGGGACAGAGAGGACCCAAGAAGCUUUCAGUGCCCUGAAAAAUAUUGUCAAUGUGAUAAUCAAGUCUGUCCGCCAAAAUGCUGGCUUUGAAGGUACCAGUCAAGAGGCUAUUCAAGAAGCCGUUGCGAAUCACCUUCGCUACAGCUUUGACUUGGAUGGCCAGGGUUCCUUGCGCAAAUCAAGGAGCAAACCGUCGGCCAGAUCUGCAGAGGCUGAAGCAAGACCUACAGAGGCUGCAGAAGAGUCCGAUAUUGAGAUGGAAGAGGUGUGAAGACCAUCUAAAUGGGGGGUAUAUAUAGGGUACAUUGUGAUUUUGGGGUAAUGAAUCACUCUGGUCUCGACAAAUUUCAGGAACCUUGUAUUAUAAGGAAUGAAAACAAUGAUAGUUGAAUGGGAAGUACACAUUUCAUCAAUAGAUAAGCAGAUUCUUUUAUUUACAGUGUUAUAUUACUAGGGUUGAACUAUAUUUAACCAUUUUCAGUGUACACUCUACUUGCAUUUUUUCAUUGUGUUAAUACAUUGUUUCAUGCAUUUUCUUAUUGUUACAACAAAUGAUUGUAACUGCUUUUCCCUAAGUUUCUUGCCUUAACUAGGAAAAGAAUUGACUUACAUUAAUUGCCAAGAUUGCUUCAGGUUUUUGCACCAGAGCCAGCUGCUGUUGUAAAUAUGUAUAUGUAUGUGUAAUCCAUUAUUAUUGAAAUGUCAAUGGUAGUUGUGAGUACAGGCAUUCACUGUACCUUCUAUUCUCAGGGUUAAGAAAGAAUGCAUCACUUUUUAAGUUGAAAUAUGUACAAUGUAGAUGUUCUGAAUAAAGAACGAAAAUAUUGAAUCAAACGUAUAUGUACAAUGUAUGUACUAUUCUGGCAGCAUGUUUAUUGUGACAUGAGGUCUCAUUCUCUUUAGUCUUGAAGCACUCCAAUAGUUUAUAAUCUACCGAUAUCUCCCCCCCCACAAAACGUUACAAUAAUUCCUUUGAUAUAAAUUGUAUAAUGUAAGACACAAUAGGGACAGUGGAUGGGGGGUAUGUUUAUACCCAUUGUCACUUAUGCAUGUUUUGUAUGUUUGUGUGUACAUGUGCAAUGUACAUGCAUUUGCUGUGUUACUAGCUGGUACCUGUAUAUGCACAGGUCUUGCAUCAGAUAUUUACAAACACUUGUAAUUCGCAUUUUUAGACUUUUUUUAUUUUACUACUCGAGUAUAUUCUUGGAAUAAACUGAAUUUGCUAGAAUUCGUGA